CAGAAUGACUCUCGGCGAACGGAUAUCUAGGCUCUGCAUCGAUGAAGAACGAGUUGCAGAAUCCCGUGAACCAUCGAGUCUUUGAACGCAAGUUGCGCCCGAAGCCAUCAGGUUGAGGGCACGUCUGCCUGGGCGUCACAU
rnacentral:rRNA from 1 species